rnacentral:rRNA from 1 species
CGGACGGGUGAGUAACGCGUGAGAAUCUGGCUUCAGGUCUGGGACAACCACUGGAAACGGUGGCUAAUACCGGAUGUGCCGAAAGGUGAAAGGUUAACUGCCUGAAGAUGAGCUCGCGUCUGAUUAGCUAGUUGGAAGUGUAAUGGACUCCCAAGGCGACGAUCAGUAGCUGGUCUGAGAGGACGAUCAGCCACACUGGGACUGAGACACGGCCCAGACUCCUACGGGAGGCAGCAGUGGGGAAUUUUCCGCAAUGGGCGAAAGCCUGACGGAGCAAUACCGCGUGAGGGAGGAAGGCUCUUGGGUCGUAAACCUCUUUUCUCAGGGAAGAACACAAUGACGGUACCUGAGGAAUAAGCAUCGGCUAACUCCGUGCCAGCAGCCGCGGUAAUACGGAGGAUGCAAGCGUUAUCCGGAAUGAUUGGGCGUAAAGCGUCCGCAGGUGGCUGUGUAAGUCUGCUGUUAAAUAGUGAGGCUCAACCUCAUAAAGGCAGUGGAAACUACACGGCUAGAGUGCGUUCGGGGCAGAGGGAAUUCCUGGUGUAGCGGUGAAAUGCGUAGAGAUCAGGAAGAACACCGGUGGCGAAAGCGCUCUGCUAGGCCGCAACUGACACUGAGGGACGAAAGCUAGGGGAGCGAAUGGGAUUAGAUACCCCAGUAGUC